UGAACGGGCAUGACACGGAAACAUUGAAAAUAACUUAAAAUGGCUUUUCUCUGUACUAGUAUUCCAGAGCAAUCGUCCAAACAGCAUCCAUAACUUCCAAAUUUUAUUGUGCAUUGUCAUAAACGGGAUAUUGCUGGAAAGGAAUUUUUUUCUCUAUCUGUACCGUCAAGGAUCUCAAGUUCAUUUUAGAGGGCGGAGUUGACGCCUUGUCUUCACAUUUACAUGAAUAAACAUUAAAGGAAAGGCACACAUGAUAUUGAGAUAAUUUUACAAAUAUUUAAUGGACUUGUAUGUGCCUCAGGUUUAGAAGAGGUCAUUGUGGGGGGCGGAGUCAUGUGUCCCAUCUAAUAUGGCGUUUUGGCCUUUUGUCACUUCAUUUAACCGUUUUUAAGAGUACUAUCAAGGAUCUCAAGUCCAUUUUAGAGGGCGGAGUUGACGCCUUGUCUUCAAAUUUACAUGAAUGAACAUUAAAGGUACCGUAAAGGAUCUCAAGUCCAUUUUAGAGGGCGGAGUUGACGCCUUGUCUUCAAAUUUACAUGAAUGAAUAUUAAAGGUAAAGCACACAUGAUAUUGAGAUAAUUUUACAAAUAUUUAAUGGACUUGUAUGUGCCUCAGGUUUAGAAGAGGUCAUCGUGGGGGGCGGAGUCUUGCAUCCCAUUUAAUAUGGCGUUUUGGCCUUUUGUCACUUCAUUUAACCGUUUUUAAGAGUAUCGUCAAGGAUCUCAAGUCCAUUUUAGAGGGCGGAGUUGACGCCUUGUCUUCAAAUUUACAUGAAUGAAUAUUAAA